rnacentral:rRNA from 1 species
CCCUAGUAACUGCGAGUGAAGCGGGAAAAGCUCAAAUUUUAAAUCUGACGGUCGUUCUGGUCGUCCGAGUUGUAAUCUAGAGAAGCGUCUUCCGCGCUGGACCGUGUACAAGUCUCCUGGAAGGGAGCGUCAUAGAGGGUGAGAAUCCCGUCUUUGACACGGACUACCAGUGCUAUGUGAUGCGCUCUCGACGAGUCGAGUUGUUUGGGAAUGCAGCUCAAAAUGGGUGGUAAAUUCCAUCUAAAGCUAAAUACAGGCGAGAGACCGAUAGCGAACAAGUACCGUGAGGGAAAGAUGAAAAGAACUUUGGAAAGAGAGUUAAACAGUACGUGAAAUUGCUGAAAGGGAAACGCUUGAUGUCAGUCUCGUCCGCCAGGGAUCAACCUUGCAUUAUUU